UGGGGAAUAUUGCACAAUGGGGGAAACCCUGAUGCAGCAACGCCGCGUGAAGGAAGACGGUUUCGAUUGUAAACUUCUGUUCUUAGUGAAGAAUAAUGACGGUAGCUAAGGAGCAAGCCACGGCUAACUACGUGCCAGCAGCCGCGGUAAUACGUAGGUGGCAAGCGUUGUCCGGAAUUACUGGGUGUAAAGGGAGCGCAGGCGGGAGACCAAGUCAGCUGUGAAAACUACGGGCUUAACCUGUAGACUGCAGUUGAAACUGGUUUUCUUGAGUGAAGUAGAGGUUGGCGGAAUUCCGAGUGUAGCGGUGAAAUGCGUAGAUAUUCGGAGGAACACCGGUGGCGAAGGCGGCCAACUGGGCUUUAACUGACGCUGAGGCUCGAAAGUGUGGGGAGCAAACAGGAUUAGAUACCC
rnacentral:rRNA from 1 species